UACAGAGGUCCCGAGCGUUGUUCGGAUUCAGCUAGGGCGUAAAGGGUGCGUAGGUGGCGUGGUAAGUUUGAUGUGGAAAGCUCAAGGGCUUAACCCUGAAAUGGCAUUGGAAUACUACCGAGGGCUGGAGGGUUUGGAGGGGGGACGUGGAAUUCUUGGAUGUAGCGGUGAAAUGCGCAGAUAGUCAGGAGGAACACCGGUGGGCGAAGGCGGGUCUCUGGGCCGUAACUGACGCUGGAGGAGCGAAAGCGUCGGGGAGCGAACAGG
rnacentral:rRNA from 1 species